GUCGCGGUGAUUUUUGGAUAUCGAGUUAUUAAUUAACUUCGAAUCGCAAUUUGAUAUUCCACCACCGAUCUUUAAUUUUAUCCGAGGGAAAGGGAAAAAGUUCGAAAAAAACCUUAUUUAUUUUAGAGAACAAGGUUCGGGGGUUAGUUAUACGAAGGGAAGGUAUUAGCACCCUAAGUAUCUAUAGUACUCUAUAGGAACCUCUUGUUUUUAUUCUAUCUACGCGCUUUAUUUUAAUUGCUUUU
rnacentral:lncRNA from 1 species